ensembl:snoRNA SNORD115 Small nucleolar RNA SNORD115
GGGUCAAUGAUGAGAACUCAUAUAAUCCCGAAGACAGAUGAAGACCUAAAAAUUAUGCUCAAUAGGAUUACACUGAGGCCC